UACCAGCACCCCGAGUGGUCGGGACGAUUAUUGGGCCUAAAGCAUCCGUAGCCGGCCUUACAAGUCCUCCGUUAAAUCCAGCUGCUUAACAGAUGGGCUGCGGAGGAUACUAUAAGACUAGGAGGCAGGAGAGGCAAGCGGUACUCAGUGGGUAGGGGUAAAAUCCGUUGAUCCAUUGAAGACCACCAGUGGCGAAGGCGGCUUGCCAGAAUGCGCUCGACGGUGAGGGAUGGAAGCUGGGGGAGCAAACCGG
rnacentral:rRNA from 1 species